AUACAGCUCACGGUAAGUACUGGUUCACACAGUUCGUUCUCGAGGUGCUCACUCUCUUUCUCUUCCUCCACAGGCAACGGCUCUUCGCUGAAUACAGCUCACAGUAAGUACUGGUUCACACAGUUCGUUCCUUGGGUGCUCACUCGCUUUCUCUUUCUCCACAGGCAGCGGCGUAAGUACAGGUUUCCUCGGUCUCUCCUCGUGUUACCCACUCUCUCUCCUUUUCUCUCCACAGGUAUCAACUUGGGCACAAUAGCACAGUUAGUUUGCUUUGAAUGGCUCUCACCUCUGGGCUGGACACAGCGUACUGUAAGUACAGGUUUCCUCUGUUUCUCCUUGUGUUACUCACUCUCUCUUUCCUUUUCUCUCCACAGGUAUCAACUUGGACACAAAGCACAGUUACUCUGCUUUGGAUGGCUUUCACCUCUGGGCUGGACACAGCGUACUGUGCUAUCUCCGGAGAUCUGAAGCACGCUCACAACAUAUACUGUACUGAACUAGGCUAGGACCAGCAGUCUCCUUAUCCUCCUGCGACGAAGUGCGUGAAGGCGGGGGUUUAUCUGACAGGACACACGGCAAUACACAGCAGCCCACAGCAAUAUACAACACCACGUCAAAAUUAUAGGUUUUCACAGCAUGAAGACUCACCCACCACACUCAGUGUACGAAAAGGACACCCGUCUUCCUUCACUUCGCUUGGUUCGGAUCUGGCGAUGGAAUAUGCGGCCUAGCUAGUGAUGUCGUCGUUGUGACUACUUCAAUAAGUAUUCCUUCGGCUCUCCCACCACGCUAUAUUAGGGGUAGGGCCGCCCUCCUCCUCCUGGAGAGAUCUACACAACGCCAGGUCAAUAUACAGGGCACUUUCGACUGGCUCUUAGUACUCACAUCAAUGCCGCUUCCAAUCCCCUUUUUCACGUCGUCUCAGUUCGCCGUAUAAUCCGUUCACUUCUCAACCUUUAAGGUUCGCGAUGUCUUCACAAUCAUACAAUUCCAGCCUGAGGGAGAGAGAGAGUUAGACAGCCACCAGCAGCGCACCAAGACAGGCACAACACAGUGCUUCACACACACCAGAAAGAGCUCCCAGACUGUGAAAUAACUUGGCCUUAAGUACUGCCUUGUCCAGCGUAUCCUCCAAUCACCAACCGCUGUCCCUAACUAGGCACAGGUGCAUCGAAUUCCCUGAUUUUCCUUCUUACGGCGCUACCGGAAGUUCCGGUGUUCUGUUUUUCCGGUCCGGGCGGAAACACUUCCGGGCGGAACCAAACUUCCCGAAUUUUGGUUCCGCCCCUAAAGAUCGUCACCUUGUGACAUCUCUACUGAAUUAGACACGCCCACUCGUAUCAAAGCCCCGCCCCAAGACAUGAAACGUUAUGCACAGAGAAACGUGUUUGGAGACCACGAUAAUCAGCGAGAAAUGUCACAGGUAACAAAAGAUAAAAUAACACGCAAUUUUGAUGUUAGCAUCAGCAAACUUUAACACUGAACUCUUCUUUAAGAUGACCUUGUACAGGUACCAUGACGUAAUUUAACAAAGUAGCCGAACCAAAAGAACAUGUUCUAGGCUUUGAGGCAAACUGACACUCUCUUAACCAUAACUCAGCUUCCUCCAAGUAUUUUAAUAGGCUAAACAAAUAAAUUGUCAAAUCGCUGUUACAAAGACAGCAUUGCAUACAAUUCAACAUGUGAAGAAAUUUUUAUUUUAUUAAAAAAAUAUAUAUAUGCUUACAGAAUCUUAUAUAUAGUUAAAAGAAAGCAAAGUGGUGAAAAGACACGUUUUGGAUGGUCCUAGUCUUGUUUUGGCUGCUGGGUUUUUCUUCUCUUUCCGCAUGCAGUCUUCACAUGACCUUAAACAGAAUUAUUUUUCUUAUGAUAGAAGAAAAAAAAAACAAAAAAACGAGCUGCACAAACAUCUUCUGGAGCUGACAUCUGCAACCAAUAAAGGUAAAUUUUCUGUUAUUUUUCUGAAAUCACUCACCGUUAUACUUUACAUUUGUUUAUAGUUUAAAUAUUAAAUGAGUUGAGCUCUAACCCUGAUAAAAAUCGCCUACCUGUAGUCUUCUAGUAAUCCUAACUAAGUUAGCUGGUAGAAGUGUGUUUGAUCAGGGUAAAAUCUAAACUGUAGGACAGUGGCCCUCCAGUACCAAGUUUGCCCAUCCCUG
rnacentral:lncRNA from 1 species